ACGCUUAUGAUCCAGAGGUAGGAUUCCAGCCUUCCAAGCUGGGUGCCCGGGUUCGAUUCCCGGUGAGCGUA
rnacentral:tRNA from 1 species